rnacentral:rRNA from 2 species
UGCCGAAGCAACUAGCCCUGAAAAUGGAUGGCGCUGUAGCGUCGUGCCUAUACUCGGCCGUCAAUGGCACAGUGGGCGGCUCCCUCGCGGGGGCCGGGCCGUUACGCCUUGACGAGUAGGAGGGUCGCGGCGGUGUGCACAGAAGGGUCACGGCGUGAGCCGGCCUGGAGCCGCCGUCGGCGCAAAUCUUGGUGGUAGUAGCAAAUACUCCAGCGAGGACCUGGAGGACUGACGUGGAGAAGGGUUUCUUGUGAACAGCUGUUGCACAAGAGUCAGUCGACCCUAAGCCCUAGGAGAAAUCCUAUGUCGAUGGGUUGCCGAAGCGCUUAAAAAUGAGCUCAAGUCACGUCGCCUCAGCGCGAGCGAGUCCCAUAGCUCGGCCUGUCGGCACCCACGGGGCGAAAGGGAAUCCGGUUCCUAUUCCGGAACCCGGUAGCGGAACCGUUCCAAUGCGGGCCCUCAUUGAGUGCUCGUCGGGGUAACCCAAAGAGACCCGGAGACGCCGUCGGGAGAUCCGGAGAGAGUUUUCUUUUCUCUAUAAGCGUUCGAGUUCCCUGGAAUCCUUUAGCAGGGAGAUAGGGUUUGGAAUGCGAAGAGCAUCGCAGUUGCGGCGAUGUCCGGAUCUUCCCCUCGGACCUUGAAAAUCCGGGAGAGGGCUACG